rnacentral:rRNA from 1 species
UACGUAGGGGCCGAGCGUUGUCCGGAGUUAUUGGGCGUAAAGCGCGCGCAGGCGGCUUCGCGCGUCCGACGUGAAAGCCCCCCGGCUUAACCGGGGAGGGUCGUUGGGUACGGCGGAGCUUGAGGGCGGGAGAGGGUGGUGGAAUCCCCGGUGUAGUGGUGAAAUGCGUAGAGAUCGGGGGAGCACCCGUGGCGAAGGCGGCCAGCUGGGCCGACCCUGACACUGAGGCGCGAAGGCGUGGGGAGCGAACGGG